rnacentral:rRNA from 1 species
GUGGAUUAGAUACCCCGGUAGUCCACGCGGUAAACGAUGAAUACUAGCCGCUGGGUCGCAAGACUAAGUGGCGCAGCUAACGCGAUAAGUAUUCCGCCUGGGAAGUACGGCCGCAAGGUUAAAACUCAAAGGAAUUGACGGGGGCCCGCACAAGCGGUGGAGUAUGUGGUUUAAUUCGAUGCAACGCGAAGAACCUUACCUACUCUUGACAUGGUGCGAAGGUUGUAGAGAUAUGACUGUGCCGAAAGGAACGCACACACAGGUGCUGCACGGCCGUCGUCAUCU